rnacentral:tRNA from 1 species
AGGGACUUAGGAUAACAUUCAGACCAAGGACCUUCAAAGCCCUAAGCGGGAGUGAGAAUCUCCCAGUCCCUG